GUGUCGUCAGCUCGUGUCGUGAGAUGUUGGGUUAAGUCCCGCAACGAGCGCAACCCUCGACCUUAGUUGCCAGCAUUCAGUUGGGCACUCUAAGGUGACUGCCGGCUAAAAGUCGGAGGAAGUGGGGAUGACGUCAAAUCAUCAUGCCCCUUAUGACCUGGGCUACACACGUGCUACAAUGGGCGGUACAAAGGGUCGCGAACCCGCGAGGGGGAGCCAAUCCCAAAAAGCCGCUCUCAGUUCGGAUUGCAGGCUGCAACUCGCCUGCAUGAAGCCGGAAUCGCUAGUAAUCGCGGAUCAGCAUGCCGCGGUGAAUACGUUCCCGGGCCUU
rnacentral:rRNA from 1 species